UAGCAAUACUUAGUGGCAGACGGGUGAGUAACAUGUGGGUAUCUUCCCUUUGGUGAGGAAUAACACGAGGAAACUUGUGCUAAUACCUCAUAAGUCUUUACGGAGAAAGCUUUAUGCGCCAUUGGAUGAGCCCGCACUUGAUUAGUUUGUUGGUGGGGUAAUGGCCUACCAAGACUUUGAUCAAUAGCUGAUUUGAGAGGAUGAUCAGCCACAUUGGGACUGAGACACGGCCCAAACUCCUACGGGAGGCAGCAGUAGGGAAUCUUGCACAAUGGAGGAAACUCUGAUGCAGCGAUGCCGCGUGAGUGAAGAAGGCCCUUGGGUUGUAAAGCUCUUUCGUCGGGGAAGAAAAUGACUGUACCCGAAUAAGAAGGUCCGGCUAACUUCGUGCCAGCAGCCGCGGUAAUACGAAGGGACCUAGCGUAGUUCGGAAUUACUGGGCUUAAAGAGUUCGUAGGUGGUUAAAAAAGUUGGUGGUGAAAGCCCAGAGCUUAACUCUGGAACUGCCAUCAAAACUUUUUAGCUAGAGUAUGAUAGAGGAGAGCAGAAUUUCUAGUGUAGAGGUGAAAUUCGUAGAUAUUAGAAAGAAUACCAAUUGCGAAGGCAGCUUUCUGGAUCAUUACUGACACUGAGGAACGAAAGCAUGGGUAGCGAAGAGGAUUAGAUACCCUCGUAGUCCAUGCCGUAAACGAUGUGUGUUAGAUGUUGGAAAUUUAUUUUCAGUAUCGCAGCGAAAGCGAUAAACACACCGCCUGGGGGAGUACGACCGC
rnacentral:rRNA from 1 species